CACUCCCCGCCCAGAUCAUUGUCUCCACUCCCCGCCCCAUCCGCCGCCACUGCCCAUCGCAUCCACCCUCUGUAGCAUCCCACCACCUCCAUCGCCACCUUAACCAUAUCUCUCCUUGAUCCUCUCCCUUGGACCAGCACGCGGCGAUGGCUACUUCCAGUCGUGUGGCGGUGAUGCGGCUGGUCGAGGAACCGCGCAGGAGGCGGGCUCUGUCCCGUCCGUUGAUCUAUCUCCACCUCCUGCUCCUCCGCUCAGAUCGAACGUCACAUCCGCAUUUACGAUGACACAUGACUCUCUCCUCUCCUGCGGCGAUGCCUAUAUGUGACAACAAUGGUGUCCUGUUGUGCCCCUCCACACUUUGGACCGCCGAGGCGCGGAAGUCUCCGGAUAAGAUCGCACUACGCGUAGCAAAUUCGACCAUGUUCUCAGUGGUUGCUCGGCAAGAAACAAGGUCACAUGUAUGAUUAGCAUCUUUUGGCAAAGGCAUGUUAAUUCACGGAGGAAAUACUACUGCACCUAUGACUAUGAGAGUAGAAGCCAAGUUGCUAACUCUUGAAAAUAUACGGUCCUUCUAUUUUUUUUCCCGUGCCUUGGGAGCUUUGGACGGAGUAUGGCGUCAAUAAUCAGUAUAUACCAGAACAAUAUUUUUGUGAUAUUGUAUAUACUAACUUUCUCGUAAUGGAGUAUAUACCACAUUUUUACCA